rnacentral:tRNA from 1 species
GUCCCCGUAGUUAAAUGGAUAUAACGAGGGAUUCCUAAUCCCUAAUUACAGGUUCGAUUCCUGUCGGGGACACCA